UACGUAGGGUGCAAGCGUUAAUCGGAAUUACUGGGCGUAAAGCGUGCGCAGGCGGUUCUAUAAGACAGAUGUGAAAUCCCCGGGCUCAACCUGGGAACUGCAUUUGUGACUGUAGAGCUGGAGUACGGCAGAGGGGGAUGGAAUUCCGCGUGUAGCAGUGAAAUGCGUAGAUAUGCGGAGGAACACCGAUGGCGAAGGCAAUCCCCUGGGCCAAUACUGACGCUCAUGCACGAAAGCGUGGGGAGCAAACAGG
rnacentral:rRNA from 1 species